UUGAGGGCGUAGCGGGCAUUGCUCAGCGGCACGACCAGUUGCGGGCCGGCUUGUACGGCGAUCUCGCGGUCGACGUUGUGGGUGCUGAUUUGCACGUCUUCGGG
rnacentral:tRNA from 1 species